GAAAUCUGGCACCUCCGGUGUCCGAGUUGUAAUUUGGAGAGGCAUCUUCCGGGGGGGUCCAGCCUAUGUUCCUUGGAACAGGACAUCACAGAGGGUGAGAAUCCCGUUCAUGGUUGGAUGUACCCUUCGUCAGGUGGUGCCUUCUACGAGUCGAGUUGUUUGGGAAUGCAGCUCAAAAUGGGUGGUAAAUUUCAUCUAAAGCUAAAUAUUGGCGAGAGACCGAUAGCGCACAAGUAGAGUGAUCGAAAGAUGAAAAGCACUUUGAAAAUAGAGUCAAAAAGUACGUGAAAUUGUUGAAAGGGAAGCGCUUGAGACCAGACUCAGCCUUGGACAAACCUCCCUUCUGGGUGGACACCUGACCUUGGCUGGGCCAGCAUCAGUUAGGACGGUGGAAUAAAGGCUCGAGGAAUGUGACUCCACUUAGGAGUGUUAUAGCCUCGGGUGCCAUCCCACCUGCCC
rnacentral:rRNA from 1 species